rnacentral:rRNA from 1 species
CGUAGGGUGCGAGCGUUAAUCAGAAUUACUGGGCGUAAAGCGUGCGCAGGCGGUUUUGUAAGACAGGCGUGAAAUCCCCGGGCUCAACCUGGGAACUGCGCUUGUGACUGCAAGGCUAGAGUACGGCAGAGGGGGGUGGAAUUCCACGUGUAGCAGUGAAAUGCGUAGAGAUGUGGAGGAACACCAAUGGCGAAGGCAGCCCCCCGGGUCGAUACUGACGCUCAUGCACGAAAGCGUGGGUAGCAAACAGGAUUAGAUACCCUGGUAGUCCACGCCCUAAACGAUGUCAACUAGGUGUUGGGUGGGUAAAACCAUUUAGUACCGGAGCUAACGCGUGAAGUUGACCGCCUGGGGAGUACGGCCGCAAGGUUA